AGGGAUGAGUUGGUUUGCAUUUGAAUUCAAAUUUGAUUUGAAUUCAAAUGUGCAACCACUUAUCUUUAUCCUCUCACGCGGAUAAGACACGUUUUGAACUAUUUUAAAAGAGACAGAAAGGUGGGGCAUGCGUAGAGAUUUUCUCAGAGAAAAAGUGGGGCAUGAGGAACCCUUGUGCGCGAGUAGGAAGUCUAAAACUUUCGAGAGAAAAAGAAAGAAAGGAAAGAAAAGUGGGCGCAGGGUUUUUCAGUGAGUUCCCUAGGGUUUUAGCCUGG
rnacentral:lncRNA from 1 species